rnacentral:tRNA from 1 species
GGGGCCAUAAAAUGGCUCAGUUGGUAGAGUGCUUACCUCACAUACAAAGACCCUGGGUUCAAUCCCCAGCACCA